rnacentral:rRNA from 1 species
GAGGAAUAUUGGUCAAUGGACGAGAGUCUGAACCAGCCAAGUAGCGUGAAGGAUGACUGCCCUAUGGGUUGUAAACUUCUUUUAUACGGGAAUAAAGUUAGCCACGUGUGGCUUUUUGUAUGUACCGUAUGAAUAAGGAUCGGCUAACUCCGUGCCAGCAGCCGCGGUAAUACGGAGGAUCCGAGCGUUAUCCGGAUUUAUUGGGUUUAAAGGGAGCGUAGGCGGGUUGUUAAGUCAGUUGUGAAAGUUUGCGGCUCAACCGUAAAAUUGCAGUUGAUACUGGCGACCUUGAGUGCAACAGAGGUAGGCGGAAUUCGUGGUGUAGCGGUGAAAUGCUUAGAUAUCACGAAGAACUCCGAUUGCGAAGGCAGCUUACUGGAUUGUAACUGACGCUGAUGCUCGAAAGUGUGGGUAUCAAACAGGAUUAGAUACCCUGGUAGUCCACACAGUAAACGAUGAAUACUCGCUGUUGGCGAUAUACGGUCAGCGGCCAAGCGAAAGCAUUAAGUAUUCCACCUGGGGAGUACGCCGGCAACGGUGAAACUCAAAGGAAUUGACGGGGGCCCGCACAAGCGGAGGAACAUGUGGUUUAAUUCGAUGAUACGCGAGGAACCUUACCCGGGCUUAAAUUGCAACUGACUGAACCGGAAACGGUUCUUUCUUCGGACAGUUGUGAAGGUGCUGCAUGGUUGUCGUCAGCUCGUGCCGUGAAGUGUCGGCUUAAGUGCCAUAACGAGCGCAACCCUUAUCGAUAGUUACUAGCAGGUCAUGCUGAGGACUCUAUUGAGACUGCCGUCGUAAGAUGUGAGGAAGGUGGGGAUGACGUCAAAUCAGCACGGCCCUUACGUCCGGGGCUACACACGUGUUACAAUGGGGGGUACAGAAGGCAGCUACACGGCGACGUGGUGCUAAUCCCGAAAGCCUCUCUCAGUUCGGAUUGGAGUCUGCAACCCGACUCCAUGAAGCUGGAUUCGCUAGUAAUCGCGCAUCAGCCACGGCGCGGUGAAUACGUUCCCG